rnacentral:tRNA from 3 species
GGGUCCGUAGCUCAAUGGUAGAGCAAUUCCCUCUUAAGGAAGCGGUUGUGGGUUCGAGCCCCACCGGGCCCACCC